AACGCACGCUGGCGGCAUGCCUAACACAUGCCAGUCGAACGAGAUCUUCGGGUAUAGUGGCGCACGGGUGCGUAACGCGUGGGAAUCUGCCAUUUGGUUCGGAAUCACAGUUGGAAACGACUGCUAAUACCGGAUGAUGACGAAAGUCCAAAGAUUUAUCGCCAGAGGAUGAGCCCGCGUAGGAUUAGCUAGUUGGUGUGGUAAAGGCGCACCAAGGCGACGAUCCUUAGCUGGUCUGAGCGGAUGAUCAGCCACACUGGGACUGAGACACGGCCCAGACUCCUACGGGAGGCAGCAGUGGGGAAUAUUGGACAAUGGGCGAAAGCCUGAUCCAGCAAUGCCGCGUGAGUGAUGGAGGCCUUAGGGUUGUAAAGCUCUUUUACCCGGGAUGAUAAUGACAGUACCGGGAGAAUAAGCUCCGGCUAACUCCGUGCCAGCCGCCGCCGUAA
rnacentral:rRNA from 1 species